UCUGGCCCCUAAAGAGGUUGUAGGUGUGGCUGCUGUAUCACAAAUGAGCCGGUAGGUAACAGAGAGGAGACAGGCUCUGCCUAUACUCUGACCUGUCAACAUCUGAACAAUUAGUAGCCUAACAUU